rnacentral:rRNA from 1 species
AUUGAACGCUGGCGGCAGGCCUAACACAUGCAAGUCGAGCGGAUGAAGGGAGCUUGCUCCUGGAUUCAGCGGCGGACGGGUGAGUAAUGCCUAGGAAUCUGCCUGGUAGUGGGGGAUAACGUCCGGAAACGGGCGCUAAUGCCGCAUACGUCCUGAGGGAGAAAGUGGGGGAUCUUCGGACCUCACGCUAUCAGAUGAGCCUAGGUCGGAUUAGCUAGUUGGUGGGGUAAAGGCCUACCAAGGCGACGAUCCGUAACUGGUCUGAGAGGAUGAUCAGUCACACGGGAACUGAGACACGGUCCAGACUCCUACGGGAGGCAGCAGUGGGGAAUAUUGGACAAUGGGCGAAAGCCUGAUCCAGCCAUGCCGCGUGUGUGAAGAAGGUCUUCGGAUUGUAAAGCACUUUAAGUUGGGAGGAAGGGCAGUAAGUUAAUACCUUGCUGUUUUGACGUUACCAACAGAAUAAGCACCGGCUAACUUCGUG